GGGUGCAAUCAUACUAGCACUAAUGCAGUGGAUCCCAUCAGAACUCCGAAGUUAAGCGUGCUUCGGCGAGAGUAGUAUUAGGAUGUGGACCUCCUGGGAAGUCCUCGUGUUGCACUCC
rnacentral:rRNA from 1 species